CUUCUCUCCUUGUCUGUUCUCAGCUCACUUCCCUGGCUCUCCUCCCUCUUCUCUUUUUGUAAUCUAUCUACCUGCUUCAGGUUGAGGUCAAGGGGCAGUUCCUGGUGUUCUUGAGCCCUGCGCAGGCUGUCUUGCACGCUGCCUCCAGGAGGACAGCGGCGCGUGAGUGUGAGCACCGCAUCGUGAGCCCUGCGGAGCUGGGAGCUGUUGACAAAUGCAGCCAGAGCCUCCGGGCCUGGAGACAAAGCGUAGUGAAGCGUGUCGAAGGGCAGGAAAACCAGGGAGCCAUCAGUCAGAGCCAGUUCUUCUGCAGCUUCCAGUAGGUAGCGCUGCUCCUCGCCGCCCAGCAGCACCGAGUGCAUCACCAUGAUCACUACUGCGGAGCGGACGGACACAGAGGCUGGCUCGCUACGCUGUCCACUCUCGGCAGGACCCACCCACCUUGCCCGCACUCUACUGGGGAGCUUACCUCUAACUCUAGGCCCAUCUCGGAUCCUCCCGAGGGCCUCCCGGGCUCCAGACCGGUCUGAAGUCUCCAUGGAAGUCACUAGGGCAACUGGCAAACCCCGGGCCCUGAGUGCUGUGGACAGAGCGCGUCCCGCCUCCACCCACAGGUCUUGGGGUGCAGUGAUCAGGGCCACGCGCGCCCAGCGGAAUGCUCUAAGGAGGACGUAGAGAGCAUCUGCAGCGGGGGUCACCGCCGGGGCUGUAGUACCCGCCGCCCGCGUGCCAGGGCAGCCCCAGGGCACCAGCGCUACUCCAGCUUCUUGAGCCAACAGUUCGGCUGGCCGACAGGCUGCGGGGUUCACCGGACCCACCAGGCCAGAGACUCGAGACAGCGCAGAGGACACAGCCCCUAGUGAGCCCGGAGUCAGGCAGGGCUCUGGGAGCAGCGCAACCUCGAACCGGGGGCCGCCGUCUAAAGCAAAGUCACGAUUCAGGCGGUUGGCGGCCAGACGCGCAGCCAGGUCUGGUCGGGCCCGUGCAAAGAUGGGGUCGCAAGCCCAGGGGCCCAGCACCCCCACUUUGAACACAGCAGAGAGGGCAGAAGGAGAUGGGAGCAGUAGCAGUAGCAGGAGUCCCGGUAGCCCAGGCCUUGGCCAGCGCAGGACCCGCGAGAAACUGGACGGAGACUGCCGCGCAGGGACACAGAACCCGGCGCCGGGAAGCCCUCCGGCUGGCAGGAGCCAAGCGCUCAUUGCCUUCUUCUGUGAACACAGAGCGAACAAGAUAAGAGUUGAGGGCCCUCAGCACUCACUCCCGUAAGGUUCUCCCCUCAAGCCUGUUUCUCAAAUUCCGCCCAACCCCCUAGGGUGUCUUGGCUUCCAGGACCCUAGAUGGCAGCCCAGCUCAUCGCCCCAAGGUCUUUUUGGUUUAGCCUGUUUGUACUUAGAUUGUUUAUCCUCCCUUCCUCUUCAGCAGUCUUGGGGGUUCAGUGGGGAAUACUCCCACGCCUUCAUACAGGACCGAAGUUCCUGUGUGGGUCAUUCAUUACUUACCGGAAAGUCCGGGGCUAGGGCUUGGCUAAGGGGUCACAGGAUCGAUGCCCCUUCGGUCUCCCCUGGCAGCCCAGCCCAGGGCGGGGGGUGUGGGAACAGCCCGCUGCAGCCCUUAAUCCCUCCAAGCCGAUUAGGAUCUUUUAAUCAAGCAGAACAGGGCGGGCUGAUGGAGGUUGAGAGUCUCUACAGCUCCUCUGUAGAGUGGGGUCUGCCCUGCUUCUAGACAGCCACAGUUGCUUUAACUAAUCAUACAGGGAGAGAAAGCGAAUCUGGACUGUACCUCACACCGCGCACGAAUUCAACGUCAGACUUACAUAUGAAAAUAAAAUGUUUAUCUUUU
rnacentral:lncRNA from 1 species